CGGGUAACGGGGAAUUAGGGUUCGAUUCCGGAGAGGGAGCCUGAGAAACGGCUACCACAUCCAAGGAAGGCAGCAGGCGCGCAAAUUACCCAAUCCCGACACGGGGAGGUAGUGACAAUAAAUAACAAUACGGGGCUCAUUUGGGUCUCGUAAUUGGAAUGAGUACAAUUUAAAUCCCUUAACGAGGAACAAUUGGAGGGCAAGUCUGGUGCCAGCAGCCGCGGUAAUUCCAGCUCCAAUAGCGUAUAUUAAAGUUGUUGCAGUUAAAAAGCUCGUAGUUGAACUUCGGGGUUUACCCAUUGGUCAGGCUUAAUUGUCUGUACUGGUGAGAUGAAUCUCUACCUUCUGAGGAACUUUCAUGCCAUUUAUUUGGUGUGAUGGGAAAUCAGGACUGUUACUUUGAAAAAAUUAGAGUGUUUAAAGCAGGCUAACGUCUGAAUACAUUAGCAUGGAAUAAUGAAAUAGGACGGACUGAUUCUAUUUCGUUGGUUUCUAGGAUCACCGUAAUGAUUAAUAGGGAUAGUUGGGGGCAUUAGUAUUCAAUUGUCAGAGGUGAAAUUCUUGGAUUUAUUGAAGACUAACUACUGCGAAAGCAUUUGCCAAGGAUGUUUUCAUUAAUCAAGAACGAAAGUUAGGGGAUCGAAGACGAUCAGAUACCGUCGUAGUCUUAACCAUAAACUAUGCCGACUAGGGAUCGGACGAAGUUAAUUUUAUAAUGACGCGUUCGGCACCUUACGG
rnacentral:rRNA from 1 species